rnacentral:rRNA from 1 species
AUUGAACGCUGGCGGCAUGCUUUACACAUGCAAGUCGAACGGUAGCAGGGAGCUUGCUCCGCUGACGAGUGGCGAACGGGUGAGUAAUGCGUCGGAACGUGCCGAGUAGUGGGGGAUAACGCAUCGAAAGGUGUGCUAAUACCGCAUACGUACUGAGGUAGAAAGUGGGGGACCUUCGGGCCUCACGCUAUUCGAGCGGCCGCCGUCUGAUUAGCUAGUUGGUGAGGUAAAGGCUCACCAAGGCGACGAUCAGUAGCGGGUCUGAGAGGAUGAUCCGCCACACUGGGACUGAGACACGGCCCAGACUCCUACGGGAGGCAGCAGUGGGGAAUUUUGGACAAUGGGCGCAAGCCUGAUCCAGCCAUGCCGCGUGUCUGAAGAAGGCCUUCGGGUUGUAAAGGACUUUUGUCCGGGAGCAAAUGCUGGUGGCUAACAUCCACCGGAGCUGAGAGUACCGGAAGAAUAAGCACCGGCUAACUACGUGCCAGCAGCCGCCGCAGUAA